rnacentral:rRNA from 1 species
UACGUAGGUGGCAAGCGUUGUCCGGAUUUACUGGGCGUAAAGAGCGCGCAGGCGGUCAGAUAAGUCGAAUGUGAAAGCCCCCGGCUCAACUGGGGAGGGUCAUUCGAUACUGUUCGACUCGAAGGCAGGAGAGGGAAGUGGAAUUCCCGGUGUAGUGGUGAAAUGCGCAGAUAUCAGGAGGAACACCGGUGGCGAAGGCGGGUCUCUGGGCCGUAACUGACGCUGAGGAGCGAAAGCGUGGGGAGCGAACAGG